rnacentral:rRNA from 1 species
UACGAAGGGGGGCUAGCGUUGCUCGGAAUCACUGGGCGUAAAGGGUGCGUAGGCGGGUAUUUAAGUCAGGGGUGAAAUCCCAGAGCUCAACUCUGGAACUGCCUUUGAAACUAUCGGUCUGGAGUUCGAGAGAGGUGAGUGGAAUUCCGAGUGUAGAGGUGAAAUUCGUAGAUAUUCGGAGGAACACCAGUGGCGAAGGCGGAUCUCUGGACAGUUACUGACACUGAGGCACGAAGGCCAGGGGAGCAAACGGG